UGAGUGGUCUAGUCCUUCAGUACUUUCAGGUCUAUUCACACCAAGAGGAAAGUGAAUAAUUUUCUCCAGAAACUCCAUUCAAAUGUUUAUAGGGCUCUGAAAAUAGUUCACAUACUGAAAGCACAUCACAAUACUAUUGUGUCGGCCUUCCAAGUUAGGCCGUGGAUCGAGGGAUCAGUGAUCAUAUUGCACGCAUUAGUGAUGUUUCGUUCAUGAACAAAUUGGUCUUUUUGAACGAAUCUUUUAAAUGAACGAAUCGUUCUCGUUCAACUCCAUACUCUGACUCAUAUUUUUCAUUCACUGACGUCUUUCCCUUUUGAAGCCAAUGAGCUAGACUGCUUUUCAUGCCUGUAAAAGCACAAGCCAGUAGCAUUUGAGAGCACGCUGUGAAGGAGCAUAUCAUUGGUUCGACCCGCUGAAGGAAUACACCCCAUCACUGAACUAGUCGGUCAUUUGAGUCUGAACGAGAUGAGAGGUGGUUUGUGAACAAACUGAAUAUUCUGGUAAACCCGUUCGCGAAUGACUCGUGAACGAAGAUCUGCUGAUCGACUGAAUGAGAUGGAGGCACGUCAUUCGUUCAGUUCAGCAUGUGAGUCAAUCAAGUUCAACAAGGAGAGACAGGGGUGAAAAGCACUUAAGACAAGUUUAUAGGUAUACACAAAACAUGAUCCCCAAUUUAUGAAUGUGUAAAAAUGACUGAAGAUGUACAAUUAAAAUGACAUGAAUUACAGAUGGAAAUGUUGUGCUUUGAUACACAGUGUACAAUGUUUAGACUUUUCUAGAACUUUUUCUUGUGUGGUGAUGUUGGCGUGGCCGAGCGAUGCCUGUGGAGAGCGAGGCCGAGAGAGUGAGUAUGGUAAGGGUUGAUACCUGUGGGAAAUAACCACUAACAACUGUUUUGUGUUUGCAGUGAGAGCGGAGAGGGAUUUAAAAGGAAAUCCAGGCCGCUGGAGGAGAGUGAGAGUGACACAUGAUCCUGAUUGUGUGUGAGUGUUUGUCUGCUAGAAAGCAUGAGCUUUGGGAUACACUGCAGUGUGUAAAAAUAAAGAUUUACAUCGACUGUUCACCUGGCCCCACUUCCUCCUUCGUCCAAGAGCUAAAGACUUGUCACAGUGGUGCCAAAACCUGGGAAUUUGUUUGUAGGAAGAAAAUGUCGUCAUGGAGUCCUCGCCACUGGCCGAGCUCUUCAAGACCCUCGCCGGCAUCCACCAGGCUCAACAUCAGGCCCUGCUUGAACUACGCAUGGAACAGGAGUGGCAAUUGCAGGUGCUAGUCCAGGCUCAAGCGGAGGACUGGCAGAUGUUAUGGAGCUUAGUCAGGAGGGAUCUUCCACUGUGACUACAGCCACACUCGUGAAGAUGGGACCGUGAGAUGACCCUGAGGCUUUCAUCGAGCUGUUCAAGGUGUAGAUGGUGGAGACGUGGAAGUGGCCAAACCCCCAGUGGGCGGUCCGCCUACUGCAGCUGCUGACAGGGGAAGCCCAGCGUGUGGCCCAUCAGCUUCCGGUCAACAACCUCCUGGUGUACGAGGAUCUGAAAAGAGACAUCUUGCAGUGGGUUGGCUGUAGCCCGGAGCAGCAUCGCCAGCACUUCCAGACAUUGACGCUUGGGAAGCACGGCCACCCAUUCGCCUUCUCCUGGCAGCUCCGUGACGCCUGCUGAGAGUGGAUGCUGGCUGAAGAUUGUGAUGCCGAGGAGCUACUCGAUCUGGGGUUACUGGAGCAGUACAUCGCCCGGCUACUGAAAGGGACAGCGGAGUGCGUCCAGUGCCACGGACCGUUAUCACUGGUUGGGGUGGUCCAGCUGGCUGAGGAUCAUAUGGCAGCAUAUCCGGGGGCCGGCUGGUGAAUCCGCUGUUGCGGGUGUGGGUGUGAAGUCUGGGCUGGUCUGCUGGAGGUGGAGACAUUGGUCCAGGUCCCCGACAUACCACUUGCCGCCCUGAUCGAGCAGGAACGUACCAGAUACCGACUGACACAUUGGACAGGGGGUUGGGAGCAGUACUGUCCCAGAUGGUGGAAGGAGAGGAACACCUUGUGCUGUACAUUAGUCGCAAGCACUUGAUCAGAGACUAAGUAAAGCAAAAUUGAGGAGUGUUUGGCCAUCAAGUGGGUGGUCCUCACCCUCCAGUACUAUCUGUUGGGAUGUGCUUUCACCCUCUGUUCGGACCACACCCCACUCCAGUGGCUCCAAUGCAUGAAGGAUACCAAAGCGCGGAUCACCCGUUUACAUCUAGCUCUCCAGCCAUUUAAGUUCGAAGUGGAUCAUGUGGUGAUGGGGGCGUGGCCGAGCGAUGUCUGUGGAGAGUGAGGCCGAGAGAGUGAGUACGGUAAGGGUUGACACCUGUGGAAAAUCACCUCUAACAGCUGUUUUGUGUUUGCAGUGAGAGCAGAGAGGGAUUUAAAGGGCAAUCCAGGCCGCCGGAGGAGAGAGAGAGCGACACACGAUCCUGACUGUGUGUGUGUGUUUGUCUGCUGCAAAGCAGGAGCUUUUGGAUACA